rnacentral:misc_RNA from 1 species
AAGUCGUAACAAGGUUUCCGUAGGUGAACCUGCGGAAGGAUCAUUAUCGAAUCUUCUGAGGGUUGUUGCUGGGUUCCUCCUAAAGGGGGUUCCAACGUGCACGCCCUCGUCCAUUCUUAAACCCCUGUGCACUUAUUGUAGGCUUGGUGGCAGAGCUGACUUUGGUUGGUUCGAAAGUCUCGCCUAUGUUUUAACACACGCUUCAGUCUAUGAAUGUCAUUUUGCGGAUAACGCAUUAAAUACAACUUUCAACAACGGAUCUCUUGGCUCUC